rnacentral:lncRNA from 10 species
CCCGGAAGACAUUUUAAGCUUUACAGCAAGUCAUUAAAAAGAAACAAAAAUAAAUGCGUAAACAUAAUCCCACGCUGCCUGUCUGGAGCGAAAUUGGUAUCUGGUGGGGUGAAAGCAGAACCUCGGCCUUCAUGCAACUCUGUGUUUGGGAAAAAGAAGGAAGGAGGGAGAGAAGGAAACUCUGCCUGUAUUCAAACCAUUUCAAGAAACAUGGUUGAACUAAAGAGAGAAGCAAUUUAAAGUGGGUGUUUUCACACGCAGAGCUGGAAGUUCUAGCAUUGGAGCCCUAUGGGUCUGAAGUUCAGCCAUAUUCCUUCCCCAGAGCCCUAGUUGCCUUGGAAGUCAAGAUCUUUUAGAAGCCACCUGCAUCAACUUUUCACCACUGUCCUAAAUCAGAAACUUCGUGGUCACUUCCCCACUCCUCACCUGCUGCCUCCAAGGAUCUCCUCAGGAAUAAAUUACUUGCAUUUAAAUCCUUGUCUCAGAGUUGGCUUCUGGAGGAACUCAGAUGAAGAUGGCAGACUUAUCACUUUUCCUUUUGUCUAACUAAAAGGCUUCAAAUAGAAAUCAAUUAUUCAACUGAUUAUGAAUCCAAAAAUUUCUGGCAUAUUUGAAAGAGCAGAUCAUCCCGACUUUUAGUCCUCAAGAUAUCAAAAAUAUUGCAUCUCCAUCUAGCACCUCCCCCCCCAUUACACACCUGCUUUGUGCUAGGCACUUUACAUGUGCAACAGGAUGAUGUUAGGGGUGCUCUGAGUCUCUUGGCCUAAGUUCAAAGGUCAUUCAGCAGUUGGGGUCAGCCACCUUCCUUCACGGCUCGCUGUGGAGCCAUUUCAGCAGAAUGGCAGCCCAUCCUUAUGCCCAUUCUACCGUGGGCGUCAAGGAGAAGGGGAAAGAGAGCACGUCUUGCUUCUCCUGCUCCCCCUACCCAUUGUCCCAGCUCCAAGCCACUAGAAUCAUGAGUCUGGCUUGAACUGGGUGACAUGGGGCCAGGGGAUCUAAAAGAACUUUGAAUCAGAUCUGAGAAUGAAGUUUUUUCCAAGGAAAUUUAUAUUGAACUAUAAAACACAUACAGAAAAGUAUAUGUGUGUACAUGCACACAGAUAUAUCAUAAGUGCACGGCUCAGUGAAUUUCCCCAGACUAAACAUGCUCACAUAACCUGCACCCAGAUCAAGAUACAGAACUCUCCCAGCCCCUCAGAAAGCUACCUAGUAACCCUCCUAGUCACUACCCUUUGCCAAGGGUGACCACUAUCCUGCUAACACCCUGGAUUGCUUUUGCCUGUUUUUGAACUUCACAUAAAUGGAAUCAUGCCGUGCAUGCUUUUUGGUGUCUGUCUUCGUUUGUUCGACAUCAUGACCAUGAGACUGGGUCUCGUUGUGCUUCACUGGUUGAGACUGACAUUCUAAUUGGAGGAGAUUUGGGUUUUAAGACCUGAAAUAGACAGCUUUGGUAACCAAAGAGUCAGUCAGGCAUGCUAUGGAAUUGUUGAGAGGCUGGUUGAGGAAGCCCAUUCUUUAAUAGCUCCGU